UGCAGAGUAACCCCGGCUCUUCUUUUGUGUUGGAGGUUGAACCAUCUUCAAAUCGUUUUCAGAGGCUUUUCGUAGCUUACGGAGGUUGUGUAGAAGGCUUCCAAUUCUGUUUGCCAGUGUUGUAUGUUGAUGGAACGUUUGGUAAAAGCAUUUACAAGGGGCAGAUUCUGUCUGCAACUGGAAGGAAUGGGAAUCAAGGUUUCUAUCCUCUAGCUAUAUGUUUUUGUGAUUCAGAGACAGAUGCAAACUAGACAUUCUUUUUCAAACAUUUGAAGAGUCUGCUUGAACCUCAAGGGAGAGUUAUCACAUUUAUUAGUGAUCGGGGUGUUGGAUUGUUGAGCGCUUUCGAUAAGCUGCCGAUAUGGAAUUAUGGCUAAUGGGAUUGCUGAAUCAUUUAACUCUUGGAUUGCAAUUGAGCGUUUGAUGCCAGUCUACUGUAUGCUUGACCAGACAAGAAUUAAACAAAUGGAGAUGGCGGGUAAAAGGAGGGAAGAAGCAGAACGUUGGACCACAGAACUAACUCCCAAAAUGGAGGAAAGGUUGAAGGUGCAGAUGGAGAAAUCUCGUCGUUUCAGUGUCCAUUAUUCAAGUCCUGGAGUUUAUGAGAGCUACAGUUUUCCUAUCCAUCCGAUAACCAAUGUUGAUAUGUCUUCUUCGG